UACGGAGGAUGCGAGCGUUAUCCGGAUUUAUUGGGUUUAAAGGGUGCGUAGGCGGCGAGUUAAGUCAGCGGUAAAAGCCCGGGGCUCAACCCCGGCCCGCCGUUGAAACUGGUUGACUUGAGUAUAUUUGAGGUAGGCGGAAUGCGUGGUGUAGCGGUGAAAUGCUUAGAUAUCGCGCAGAACUCCGAUUGCGAAGGCAGCAUGCCGGCGCCACACUGACGCUGAGGCACGAAAGCGUGGGGAUCAAA
rnacentral:rRNA from 1 species